AUUGAACGCUGGCGGCAUGCCUUACACAUGCAAGUCGAACGGUAACGCGGGGCAACCUGGCGACGAGUGGCGAACGGGUGAGUAAUGUAUCGGAACGUGCACAGUUGUGGGGGAUAACUGCUCGAAAGAGCAGCUAAUACCGCAUACGACCUGAGGGUGAAAGCGGGGGAUCGCAAGACCUCGCGCAAUUGGAGCGGCCGAUAUCAGAUUAGGUGGUUGGUGGGGUAAAGGCUCACCAAGCCAACGAUCUGUAGCUGGUCUGAGAGGACGACCAGACGCACUGGGACUGUGACACGUACCAGACUCCUACGGGGGGCAGCAGUGGGGAAUUUUGGACAAUGGAAGCAAGUCUGAUCCAGCCAUGCCGCGUGCGCGAAGAAGGCCUUCGGGUUGUAAACCGCUUUUGUCAGGGAAGAAACGCCCUGGGUUAAUACCUCGGGUUAAUGACGGUAACUGAAGAAUAAGCACCGGCUAACUACGUGCCAGCAGCCGCAGUAACAC
rnacentral:rRNA from 1 species